UCAAAAUAAAAAGAAAGAUGAGAAGAGAAGAGAUUUCAAAACGCCAGGAGAGAAAGAGAGAGAGUGGGAAGAAGAAGAAAACAACAGAUAGAGAGAGAGAGAGAGCGAGCGCAUUCUAUACUAGUCAUCCUUUUUCCUUCUUCGUAGUUUCGCUCUCUCAAUCCCCAAUUCCCCUACACGGAGAUCUCUUCUAGGGUUUCCGCCACCGUAAGAUCCACCGCCCCUUCCUCAGAUCUCCUUUGAUCUACUUCAACCAUGGAGGCAAUCGAAGAGUCGUUGCAACUAUCAGACUCGAUGCGCAAAGGCGAGGCCAUCCUCGCCGACGAAGACGUUGACGGAAACUUUACCCCCUCCUCUCUCACACACUCUCUCUCUAAAAGCCCUCUCUGUCUUUCUCUGGAAUUGUCGAAGAUGAAGUCUAUGCAGCCAGGUACUGCUCUAUUUCUUAACCAACCUAAAUCUCUUCGUUGGAAACCUUUCCUUCACUGUUGACAGUGCUUAGCUAGUUGAGCUCUUCAAAAGUGCUGGGAAUGUUGAGAUCGUUGAGGUUAUAUAUGACAACACUACUGGGAGAUGCAGAGGAUUUGGGUUUGUGACCAUCUCUAAUGAUCAGGAAGUAGAAGCAGCUGCUCUCGAUAGUUUAAUGGCUAUGUAAGUCACCAUAUUAUGUCUAUCAUUUGUUUGUAGAUAUGCAAAAAUAUGAAACAAAUUCUAGAUAUGAGAUAAUUGGAUUGGUGUAAAAUUGAGUUAAUAUUUCCAGGUGGUGAAACAUUUGAGUUAAUAUUUCUAGUCAGAGUAAAAUUGCAUUGAGUUUCUUUUCAGAUUGCUUUGGAAGGGUAAUUGGUUCAUACAAGAGAAGAGCUUUUAAGAUACUUGCUUUAAUUUGUGCAUACUCAGUAGUCAGAGGACUCUGUAUGGUCAUUCUUUAUUCUUCUGAUGUUAAACAGCCAUGGUUGCCUUAAAUGACAUACUGUCCACUUCAGUCACUCUAUAGCUGUUUCAAUCCCUCACACAUUGUUUCUUGUGCUGAUCAUGGCAUCUAGUUUAAAUGGACUUACUGUUGGAGAUCCACUCUCUAACAAUCUCAUGGAAUCUCCUGUAAGGUCUGUAACCAUGUUUUAUGCAAGGUAACCUCCUGCAGUUUUCAUCCUCACUUCAUGUCCUAAUGAUGCCACUCAGCUUAAUUACUAGUCCACCUUUGACUGUAUUAGCUUAAAUUUGCAAGAAUGUGAUAAUAUUUCUUAGUAUAAUGAACUCAAUCUUGGACCUUUGUUCAUGUCAUCAUGUGGUAAAACAGCAGGAUAAUUUCAGUUUGGGUCAUAGAUAGGUAGUGCUACACAACUCUUGAGAGAGGUGAAGUUCAAUUUAUAGCUAUCCCUGAUCUUGCUUUAAAUUAAAUCUGCCUACUUUGAAGUUUUCUGGAAAUGCAAAUAACAUAGUAGUAGCAUGCAUGGUCUAGUCUGCACGUUUAGUUUCUUAUUCUCUUCUCAAAAUUGCUCUAUUUGCAUACUAGUAUGGAUUUGUUGUUGUUAGAAGAUAGAAUCUGUCAAAUCGUCUAUGUUUUCUGUUUAAUUGCUGAGUUAGUUUGCAAAUGAACGGCUUGAAUAAGAGUAUAUCAAUAUAUACAACUAGUAUGGGUCUCUCAUAACAGCUUGCAUUUAGCUCUUUCACCUUAAUAUUUUGUACAGGUAAACAUGUUCUUUUUGGUGAUGUUCUGGCUUGUUUUGUGGCAAAACUGGUUUUGGCUGGUUUGCAGUACUUAAAUGCUUUGUGUAUUUAUCAAUAGCAUCUGAGGUGCAAUAGCAUGUUUUGGCAAUAUAUCUAUCCGGAUUAUCUGUGGGGAUUCUAUGACAAUAUAUCGCAUGUUUUGGCUCAUUGGCUGCAAUAGCAUGAUUAUCUAUUUUUUGCUUUCUUUUCAGUUUUUAUAAAACUGAUAUAUCAACUCAUUGGCACAUGUUUUUGCUAGGUCCAUUGCCAGCUACACCAAGAACUGCAAACUCAAGUUACAAGUAUUUUUAUCUUAUAACAAACUGCCUUUUUUUUUUCUUUUUUCUUUUUUUCUUUUUACUGUAUCUAUAAACCAUUUUUGUGUUCAUAUGGUUUAUUUAGGAGACUUCAAUCUUGUUCUUUUAUUUUAUUCUUGUAUAUGGAGAAGUUUAGGCCAUAUGUCCCCUUCUCCUUACUCUUUGUACUCUUUUUACCAAUGUAUUAAUGAGAAUUUUCUUUUGCUUACCA